GAUGGAACCUGUGGGAACCAACCAUGUAGACAGAGAAGAAUGACCUCUGUCCACACAUCCCAGUGUUCCUACAUAAACAUGGAGGUCUCUGUCUGACUUAGGUCUGCCACUGAGUCAGAUCGUCCCCUCCAUACAAC
rfam:Erinaceus europaeus unplaced genomic scaffold scaffold00051, whole genome shotgun sequence